AGAAAAUAAAGAAAAUAAUAGGAUGCCUCGUGCAGAGUGAUCCUUUAUGUAAGCGAAAGAAAGAAAGUAACCUUCACCUAAUGUUAAGCUCCAUCGAAAAUCUUAAUCCUAACAAACAUUCGAGUUCUACUAAAUUGAAAAUUCCUUAACAUGUCCAAAGAGUAUUUACAAGCAACUUCCAGUUUUCCAAACAACCAAACUAAACAAAAAGAUAUCAACAUAAACAUCCACAAGAAAUGAAACUACGAAUUGCUUGCACAAACUUCAAUCUACAAACGAUCCUAUCUCAUGAAGCGCGUCCAGUUGCCUUCUUGUAAGUAUACCAUUUUGCAAUCCAGAGAUAUACCAAGAAGUUCAAGAAGCUAAGGAUAGCUAGGAGCCAGUAGAAGUAAUCGAGAUGGCCCCGGUUCAAGUUGUCGGGAAUCCAACCAAGCUUACCAUGCCUUGUAGUAAUAUUAGUCACUAUGGUAACCAGCAGAGUGCUUAAGUAAUUUCCUAAUGCAACAGUUGUAAGAGAAAGAGCCGAACACAAACUCCUCAUUGCAUCAGGUGCCUGGUCAUAGAAAAACUCCAACUGCCCAAUGAAUGUAAAAAUUUCUGCACAUCCAAUGAGAAAGUACUGUGGAACUUGCCAGAAAAUGGACAUUGGAAUGUACUCGAGAUCAUAAUAAUUAUGCUUCUGGACAUAUUUGAUCCGAAUAACCUCUAACACUCCAGCAGUGAUCAUCGAUAAAAUGGAUAUGACAAGGCCAAUGCCCAUACGUUGCAGCUGGGUGAAGCCUCGUUCAUGACCUGUGAAUUUCCUUGCAUAUGGGACAAUGAUUUGGUCAUACACAGGAGCCCAGAAGAUAACACUAAGGGUGUCAAACAGGGAGAGGGAAGCGGAUGGAAUCUUGAAAUGUGGACCCAUAUGUUGGUCCAUGGUGUUGCCUUGUAAAACAAACAUGGUGCUCAUUUGACUAUAUACAGUGGCAAAGACUAUACCACUUGCCCAUAUUGGAAGCAACCUGAUAAUGGCCUUGAGCUCUUCAACUUGAGUUACCGUGCAGAGUCUCCAUGGGUCUGCUGAGCCCUUAAUGCUGUCAGUUUGCGUCUCCACAGCAGCCUUGUCAAAGAACUUGAGCUUGUCUGUGUGCUCAAGCUUGCGGCUUCCUUGGAUAUGACUCUCCUCAUCUGCAGUCUCAUAAAGAAGGGACUUAUCAGCAGGAACUUGAACAUGCAAUUUCCUAAAGGAUGCAACUAUAACCUGGAAAAUCCUUGUAAAGGGACUUCCUCCAGGCUUUUGAAGUCGGUAUAACUUGCUUCCUGAGAAGAAAAACACAACUGCAAUGGCCAUUGCAACAGUUGGGACCCCAAACCCCCAGCCCCAGCCAACAUUCAUUUGUAUCCAGACCAAAACAGAAGAAGCAAUAAGUGCACCAAUAUUGAUUGAGAAGUAAAACCAAUUAAAAAAGGAGCUCUUCUUUUUCUUUUCAUUGUCAUCAGCUUCAUCAAAUUGAUCCGCCCCAAAAGAUGAGACACAUGGCUUGAUUCCACCAGUCCCAAGAGCAAUUAAGUAAAGUGCCACAAAGCAUGCUACACUCUGUGCUGUUUUUGGGUGGCAAGAAUUCAUAUCACAUGAUGGCCUUAUUCCAGGGACAGAAGCAGAAAUUGUUAGGAGUGUCAUUCCAAAAAUGUAGACAAUUACAAAAAUGGCAAUUGUCCAAUAUCUUCCCAAAUAUGCAUCAGCUAGAAAGGCUCCAAUCAAUGGGGUAACAUAGCAAGUUCCUGACCAAUUGGUCACGUUGUUUGAUGCAGUGACAUUUCCUUGGUUGAGACGGUCCUGAAGAUAAUUCACUAGAUUGGUACCCAUUCCAUAGUAUGCCAACCUCUCACAGCAUUCAUUCCCAAGAAUAAAUCGGCAAGCCUUCCAGUUUCCUGUUUUCUUUCUAUUUGCAGGUUUUCCACUAAUAUCCACUGUCCCAUCCUUGGUAUAGAGGUCUUCUUCUGCCAUAAUUUCCUUAGAGAUUUGCUAUAUACUGCGGCUGUGGCGGUGGCGUAGUGAAGGAAGGAGAGAAAAGAGUGAAUUGGUUUGGUAAUGGAGAGAGUGGUAGUGAAGAAAAAAAUAAUAGAAAUUACAGAGGGAGAGUGAAUAAAUGCAUAACCAAAAAUAGGAUACAGAGUCCGGUUCCCA
rnacentral:misc_RNA from 1 species